GACGAACGCUGGCGGCGUGCUUAACACAUGCAAGUCGAACGGAAAGGCCUCUUUCGGGGGGUACUCGAGUGGCGAACGGGUGAGUAACACGUGAGUAACCUGCCCUUGACUUUGGGAUAACUUCAGGAAACUGGGGCUAAUACCGGAUAGGAGCUCCUGCUGCAUGGUGGGGGUUGGAAAGUUUCGGCGGUUGGGGAUGGACUCGCGGCUUAUCAGCUUGUUGGUGGGGUAGUGGCUUACCAAGGCGUUGACGGGUAGCCGGCCUGAGAGGGUGACCGGCCACAUUGGGACUGAGAUACGGCCCAGGCUCCUACGGGAGGCAGCAGUGGGGAAUAUUGCACAAUGGGUGGAAGCCUGAUGCAGCAACGCCGUGUGCGGGAUGACGGCCUUCGGGUUGUAAACCGCUUUCGCUCAUGACGAAGCUUUGUGUGACGGUAGUGGGUAAAGAAGCACCGGCUAACUACGUG
rnacentral:rRNA from 1 species